rnacentral:misc_RNA from 1 species
CUCAAAAUUGAUAUGUUUGCAUGUAAAGAUUUGCAGGAUUACUAACACAAGCAUAAAGAAAAGUAAACCAGAUAAAAAUCAACAGCCACAAAACAUAACUAUCACUAGUCUGUUUUUAUGAUUGCUUAGCAGUCAGUAAAUCAUCUCAAAUAACAUUCAAAUUACAAGGCAGCAUAGUUGAAAUUGCCCAUUUGAUCUCAUUUCAUUCAUAUACAACAUAACUCUCCAUGGGACGCUUACACUUAUUGCAGACUGCAAUUUCUUCAACUAAUCCUUCAGCGUAAGGAAUAAUAUUAGAAUGAUUGCAAGGCCCUGGAAUAGGAGGUGCUUCAAGGACACUUCUGAGUGCACCGAAGAAUCCUAACUUCAUCACAUUUCCUCCCCAUUCUGAAAACUUAUUCAAGCAUUCCGUUGCCUUUCUUCCUUGAAGCUUUACAAUAUCUGUUGUACUUCCUCUCCCUAUUACCGCCCAUCCCUCAUCAGUACUAUCUAGCAGAGAUGACACUUCCUCCUGAAUAUGAUCUGAGAUGAUAGAUUGCCCUAGUCGGAAUAUUGAUCUUCUCAUACUCUCCAACCGAAUCCAAAAGAAAUGUAAUUUUGUGAAAGAGAAUAAACUGCUGUGCAUUUCUUCAUUGAUGGUGGCUAAAAUUUGUCUUACAUGUUCACUCCGAUGCCUACUGCCAACAUACACCAUCUCAAUCUGUACACCAACACUUCUACUUUCCUUCAUUUUAUCAUUGAAUUCUCUGAUCCAGUCUUGGUUUUCACUUCCAUAAAUGCAAAUGUUUCUCCCUUCUUCUACCCAUCUAGUUAGAAGGGGGUCAAUUUCGUCAACCAAAAGUUUCAGAGUCCAAUUCUCUUCUUUCCAGAGCUGCUUUUCUCUUGAAGAUGAGAAUGGAUAUGCUUUGGCACCCCAGAUCAAUAUCAUAUCAAUUGCAUUUGAAUUUGUAACCAUGCCUUGUGAAUCCAACACUACCAUAAGAGGGUCACAUUUGAAGUUCCAUACUUGUUUUAUGUAGUUCACCACAGCAGAGUUGAGUAACCAAGGUCGCCGGAGUGAGUACCAUGGCAAUGAAUUCGAUAAAAGGUUGAAUCUUUCUGCCUCAGCUUCAGUCCAUUUAUCAGAAAAUGAAAUUGGAACCCAUACAAUUUCAUAACUUUCAUCUAAAUUCUUGUGAGAAAGAUGAUUAUAUGUUUGAUGAACCAGCAGGAAUAGUCCCUCUAGAGGGAGGAGCUCUGGCUCUGAGGCCAAAAGUACAACUACCUUGUCUUUCAGUUCAGACACACCUAGCUGUCAGCAAGCAAUAUGAAAUGGUAAGAGGCCCUUAUUUUACAUUUAGUUUUGUCAGCUUGAAGGAAAAGUAGGAUAUCAAAUUCUAGAAACCUCUCUUCCUUUUUUUCAAUUUUUUGGUUCAAGAAACUAAUUUUGUCGUAUUUGGAGCACAGUGCACCUUAGUUAAGCAGAAGCAUAUCAGAAUCAUGCUUUAGCCCAUCAGUAAACAGGCAUAUGGAUGUGGGAUUGAUAGAUGAAGACACUAGAGCAAAUACCUUUUCUUGUGUAUAAGAAUUCUUGAGUGGCAAGUCAUCUUUCAGAGCCAAUAACACGCCAAGAACCUCUUGGUUGUCAGCAUGGGCCUCCUGGAAAAUGUUUAACAGCUUCUGAUGCAAUCUUGUCUCUGCAAGUUAUGCAGAAGAUGGGGUGUUAAAAAUACCGCAGUUUAUGUUGCAUUUACAUACAGAACAGCUUCAGAACCAUUCUGAAGAAUCAGAACAGUAACCUAUUUGUUGAUGACAGAAAUCCACUUGCCGAUUGAGGUGACUGUAUAAGCUGCUCAACCUAUAUACCAGACUUGAGAGCUGCCACACUGCAAGUGCUGUUUGAUUUGAAGACCUGAAGAGAAAAUGCAUUGAUUUUUAACAGCUAUAUCUGUAAAAAUUUUCAUAGGGAUCUUAAUUCUACUACAAAAUUAAGAAACUUAAACAAAUUUUCAUCUCAAAAAUACAAGAAAAAAAAACCUCCAAGAGUUUGGUUUCUGCAAUACACUAGAUCUGUUUAGUGAUGUUAAGUGAAUGCUCAGUAUCUUGAUAGAAAUAAUGAAUUGAAAAGGUGCAUAUUUAUAUGCUGAUUGAAGGGAAGGAACAUGCACUUGCUUAGGCUUCCUGGCUAUCAAGUCUCUGAUUUGGGAAGAGCAAGCCAAUGUGCUUCUUGUGACCCAGUAAGAAGCUAUGUCGAUAUAAGACUUUGCAAUUGCCAUUGCUUCAUCGUCAAGCUUUACAUAACUAAGUGGCAGGUCUUCAAACUUGAUAAUGCACUUUGUCACAUGCACCAUUGUCUUGACCAACUUGCUUAAUGCCUUAAACCUAGGCUUUAACAUGCUUAUCAUUGGGUAACUGUUUAAGCAUUGCAAUUGAUACUGCCAAGGUAUAGCUGCAUUAUCAGCCAAAAUUCACCAUAGCUUGUUGCAAAUGCUGCAAAUAUUAAUGCUACUUUGGCAUCCCAUCUGUAAUUUCCCAGCAAAUCAAACAAGACCAUAGUCCUCGUGUGCAGAUCCCCCUUUCCAGCGUUUUUGAAAAGCAUCUGUGAUCACAGAAAAUACUUAAAAUGUUUGUGUACUUGCAUCUUUGCAGGAGAGUGAAGUUGAAUGAAGAAUUACCUCAUGUGAAAUUUCACAGAUGAUCUGUCUUAGUGAUUUUUCUGUUCCAAUUACUUCAAUGUUGCUUAUAUCAUU